rnacentral:lncRNA from 1 species
ACGGUUGCAAAGGCUCAAGAAGGAAUAUUUCCAUAAACAAGUUCAAACUUAAUAAAGAGCAGACAGAGAAAGAAGAAGUCAGAGCGGAAGGGCAAUAAAGCAGGGUGUAAGAAGAAGCAGUCUUUACCUUGGGGCUAUGAACGCUGGGGAGAGCGGCUGUGAGUGCUGGAAGGGCUGGCGCAGCCCUGCACGGAGCCGCGUGGUUGCUGAACCACCAUAAAGCUCAAGGUGAAAGCAAAGCAGAGCUGCUGGGGAGCAGUGAGGGAGCACAAACCCUGCUGCCUGGCUGCAGUACGAGGCAGGGAAACAUUCCCACGAAGCUCAUGAAAGUUUUUGAGAAGCAGCAGGCUAUGGAGAAGGACUGUCAUAAACGUGGAACAUGCCAUCUGAUGCAAUUCGUGUGUUCCUGCAACUUCGGAUGGCAACUUUGCCCUGAAUGCCUUUGAAGCCUACAAACUAUGAAAUUUUAAUGCUUAGCAGCCUCCCGGGGACCUCACGAUAAUACCUACAGGACAUCUCUCAGCAUCCCUGCUGGAAGAAGGACAGACAUCUCGGGGCGAGCACCACCGAUGGCUCCUCGCCGCCACCACAGGCACCGAGGGGCGCGCUGCCCGGGGACGGGAAAAGCACGAGUUCGUGGAAAGUGGAUGGGAGGAAGGAGGAAAACAAGGUUCCCCCUUGCCAGCACCGCCUGCUGUCCCCCCAACGGAGCAGGCUGAGCAGCCCACACCAGUGCCAGGCUGCCCCAGCAUCCCCCACCACCACCGCUCGUGUGCAGCUGGCCCCACAACACCAAGAGGAUUUCUUUCCCCUCUGCCUCUGAUUACUAUGACCAUAGUAAAAAGUCUAGACAAAACGGAUGAAAUCAUCACCUUCUGAAAGCUCUAAUUACAUCAUACGCUUUAAAUUCCAAAAUUCAUCUCGCCAGCGGAAUUGCCUUUCGUAUCUCCCAGUUCUGGGGCAAAACAGCAGCAAGCACAUGCCAGGGAUGAGGGCUCCUCGACGCAGGGAGAGGGAGCGAGAUGGAUCUGGAGUCAGGAGUGGGAUGCCCAGGGGAAAGGAGAAGAAACGUGAAGGCACGAGAAGGGGCUCGCGCUGGCCGGAGGCAGGCUCAGGGCAGCAAGCCACCGCGCGCUGCCGCUCUGAGCUGGGCUGCCAAAUUCCGACGCAGUCGCAGGAUGACCCGCAGCAACCCCAUUUCAGGCUUGGGUGUCUCUUCGGCAGCGGCUGCCAAUUAGAGCGGCCGGUGCCAAAUUAUUUGGCAGAUUGGUGCCAUGGACAGACAGCCAGUCAUGGAUUUGCGCUGCUUUCCUUGAAGUAA